UAGGAGGAGCGGAGUCUCCGCUCUGCAAGGUCUCUGCGAGGAGGUGAGGCUUAGUCUUUCUCCGAAGUGCGGCAGGCUGGUGACUCCAGCGUGGAAUGGGGGCUCUACGCUGCCCUCUGCUGGCAAAGAAGACUGAAACCCAACGAUCAGGGAAGGGAAGGUGAAAGGGGACUAUAAGUUCCACGCAGGUGCAGCAUGGACCAGAGAGCCAGACUCAGAGAGGAGCCAAAGGACAAGCAGAAGAGAAAUAUCCAAGGAGGCAGUGAAAAACAAGCCCACUCCCCUUACUGACUCCCAAGAGUGUGUUUUUAUACAUGGGUUGGCUGAGCAGGGAGGGCUGAAAGAGCAGAGAAGGUGAUGUACUCAAAACAGUGAAUGGGAAAACCAAACCCACCUCAGGCUCAGUUUUCAAAUACAGCGACACUGUGUCCUGUUUCUGCUGGAUUCCUUCUCUGGGCAGAAGCUUCACCAUGGGAUGAGGUUGCACUGGGUAAAGAGGAAGCUGUAGUUAAUGGAAAAAUCAGUGACUCUAAUCUGGGAACCCUAACCACACCUUAAGGCCUCCCUGUCCUCACUCCUUCCGAAGGCAACUUAUGGCUUUUUCUGCUUCUGUGAGCCCAGGAAGAGUUCAAGCCAUAAACCACAGGAUCUUGAACCUAUAUAGGGUCUCCUCAUUAUGAAAAGAAUGAUUCUCUUAAGAACUUUUAAAAUUCCCAUUACUACUAAAGGGAAGGCUGGAGGAGGAUAAUGUCUGAAAAUGCCCACAACAAGCACAAAAUUUCCAAAAUUCCACAUAAACUGCAGUCAAUUCAACAAUUCAUCCACAUUUCUUUAUCCAAAAAUGAUAUACACCCUCCCAACGUUUGGGUAAAACUGACACUGUUUAUUCUAUGGGUUUACACACACCCAGCAAUCCAAACUCCAGCUUGAGAAAAAAUACUCCCUCUCCCCAACAGGUUGACACUAGAAUCAACUUUUUUCAAUACCCACUAUCCUAACUUGAAUUCAUUACUAACAUAAAAACCUAUUUCAGCCCCUAGUACCAUUCCCUUCUCUUCUAGUGAAACAGCAUGUGCUUCUUACGUCUGUUCUGAAAGUUUGAGCUCACAUCCUUCAUAAUAACCAAAGUCUCCUUGACUUUCUGAUUGGGCUGGACCAGGCUUGGCUUGGGCAAGAAGGUGAGGAAGUGCUCCAGAACCAGCUGGUGGAUGGUCUUGGGCCCACUAGUAGCAUCUCGAAGUAGGUCUUGGCCCAGCUUGGAGUCCGGAGGAACUCUCAGUAUAAAGGACCGCUUUGGCUUUAGGGGCAUUGGAACCACUUUUGCAGCCAUCACGCCUUGCAAUCACACACCACACUCGUUUUGCAGAGCUUCAGGAGUCACCUCUUACUGAAGGAAAUCUGUCAGAGAGCCGAGCUGCAGAUGAGAGAAACCAUGGUUUACCCACAAAACCAGGUCCAAUAUACGGCCAGGAUAGUGAGGCCACAUGAAAUGUAAAGCGGAAGGAAAGACAAGUUGUGUGAGGAACUCCUAACUGAAACGGAAGGUCGCUGAACUAGACACUCAUAGCAAGGCCUGAGAGGAAGCUCUGAGAACGAAAGCCGGAGAAUAUCCAAACCCCAGGAGUCAUUCUCCUGAGAAAGAUGAAGUGCAAGCUCCACUGGGAAGAGCAAUGGGCUAGAAGAUAGGAAACCUGGUGUCCAGUACCAAGGGCAUCUGCUUAGAAGUUGGCCUAGCCAUUAAAUGAAGCCGUACUGCGCACCUUGGACCGCGGGUCCCUCGGAUGCCCUUCCGGGGGCAGUUGAUGGCUCAAGGAGCAAACGCAAGGCAGCACGAUUAGUCCAUACGCGGCCUGCUGACUCCUUUCCGCCAUGAAAGCCCUGUUGAGAGCGGCGAGGCACCAACAGUGGGGCCCAGCUGGCCAGGCCCAUUCCGGAGCCUCUCCCACCGGCCAAGGAGUACCUUUAACACAAAGCCCAGGCGGCGGCAUUGCCCGGGGUACGUUCCCGGCUCCCUAGCCGGGCAGGCUCCCCCACCAACGGACCAAGCUCUGCUCCCUAGAGGCCACCUCAGCCUGGUUCCCGCCCUCGCGGAGCCUCUCACCUCUCAGGGGCUCUGCCGCCCCUGGGCGCUCGCAGGGGACGGCCCAGAGACCCCGGCGCAGAGAGACCGGGAAACUAGGCGCGAGAGGCCGAGCCCUCCCCUCGCCCUUCCGAGUGUCCUCACAGGCCGCCGGUGACUAUUGGCGUGAGGAACCGUCAGUUGGGGAGGACGGCCGGAACACGGUGCCUUCUGGGAGGCCGGGCGCCUCCGCAGCCGAUACGUCACAACCGGUGCCUCGUUUCCGGUUCGGAAGCCUGGUCUCCCAGCUCGGAGCCGUCAGGCUGGGCUUGAGAAAGCGAUGCUCGAGGACGACAGGCAGAGCUCUCAGCGCCAGAGGGAGAACGGGCUGGAGGCAACCGCUGUUUCUGUGGCUCUAUCUGGGAGACGGAAAGCAGAAAUUCAGCUUCAAUCCUCCAUGACGAGCUGGCUCGUCUCCAGGUACUGGCGGUGUAGCUCCAUGGACUGCUGGGAAAUGUAGUUCGGCUCCAAACAGCUAAUGGGAGGCCGCCGGGCGCGGCGGCUGGGGCGGGACAGCCCCACCCUUACCCCACCCCGCUUUCCCCGGGCUCGACCGGAAGUAGGCUGCCUCUCGGACCGGAAGAUCUGCGAGAGGCUGCGGCUGUUUCCGCCGCAGCGUCCAGGGUGUGUCGAAGGACCGCUGAAGCGCCAUUGUCGGGUGACAGAGUCAUGCUCCCUUUCCUGCUCGCGGAUGCCUUGCAGAUGCCCAGGAUCCACCCUGUCUUGUUUCCCACCUCCACUUCCCAGUAAUGGCGGCCAGAGAGGAAGCUUGGAAAGCCUAGGGCGAUGAUGCAACUAUCAAAUCUUUCUGGAUUAUCAGGUAGACGAUUACACUUGUUUCCAAGUCUCACGCUCUUCAGGUUAUUAGAGAAGAUGAGGUUGGGGUGGGCAGUUUCUGCAUCCAGAAUCACAUUAACUGCAGAGAGAAUUAGAAUACCUAGCUGGGGGCUCCAUGGGCAGUGUACCCACAGGGUUCUCCCCACCUCCAGGAAACAUGGAUAGGGACAUUCUUCUGGAAUGCACUAGAGGUCAGCACAGGGACCCAGCAGGUGAAGUCCACUUGCCUUAGUCUGGGCACUUACCGGCAUGUGCCUGAGCGCAAAUCAGUUCUGGAACUACAGAGAAAAAGCAGAUGUGGGGAAAAACCUGAGUAUUCCAAUUCAGAGAGGCUAAAUGUACCCUGGUCCCCACAACAAGGAAAGACAAGGACCCCUACCCGAGCUCAGGACCUUGCUUCCUUUGCUUGGAUUAACCCCAUUCCUCAUAGACCCUGGAGACUGCCUUGGUGACUCUUUGGUCUGAUGAGUUGACCCAGCCAACAAGUCCAGCACAGAGCCUGUGAAGGCUUUCUUCUGCCUUUGUUAUAGGUGUUUUUCUCUCUUCUAAAUAAUGCCCAGAAAUCAACAGCAUAGGGAAUAUCACAGUAACCCCUGGCAAGCAUUCUGCCAUCACCAUACUCACAAUUAAAGGUGUCCAUUUCUGAACGCAGGGUUUCUAAAAGAAGAAGGGGAGCUUGAGUUAGGUUCCCCAUCUAGGGACAGAUCAGGAAGAGGCUGAAGGCAGCAUCAGAAAGGCAGGGGAGUUGGAGAAGGGAUGCCAGAAGGGUUUGGGCUACAUGGACAUCAGGGAGGAAGUGAGCAGGUGACUCCCCUUUUCCCCCAAGCCCACCUACCUGAGAAGGACUUAAUGCUCUUCUCCACAAAUUCUGAUUUCUGGUAGAUCAAGUGGAUCUUUUUUUCCACCUCUGGAGGAGUGUUCCAUGGCUUAGGAACAGUCGCCAUCUUGACCCUAGAGACACAAGACUGCUGGCCAGAGAGGGCUGGUGCAUGGGGGUAGCCCAAGUUCCCAUGAGGUGGAAAUGAGGUGCAGGCUCCACAGGGGACACCCAGCCCACUUGGGCUUGGCAAAGAAAGUCCUCUCUGGACUCCGAGUUUUAAACACUGGUUCUCAACUUUGGCCACAGAUUGGCAUCACCUAGGGAGUUAUAAAAACCACUGAUAUCAAAACCACAGUGAGUUUUAAUAGUGGCCUUAAAAUGGUGCUAAUAUUGAAAUGCUCAGCCUAGAAUUAUCUAUGUCAAAUUAAUUAUACCUCUUUAGUCCUUUUCUGUUGAAAUAAAAAUGGUAAUAAGAAAAAAACCACAGUGAAAUAUGACUCAUAGGAUGGUUAUUAUUUUGAAAAAAUCAAAAUGACAGGUAUUGGCAAGGAUGUGGAAAAAUUGGGACCCUUGUGCAUUGGUGGUAGGAACGUAAAAUGGUACAGACACUGUGGGAAAUAGUAUAGUGGUUCCUCAAAAAACUAAACAUAGAAUUACCAUAUGACACAUCAAUUCCACUUCUAGGUAUAUGCCCAAAAUAAUUGAAAGCAGAAGGGCGCCUGAGUGGCUCAGUCGUUAAACGUCUGCCUUCGGCUCAGGUCAUGAUCCCAGGGUCCUGGGAUCGAGUCCCACAUCAGGCUCCCUUCUCGGCGGGAAGCCUGUUCUCCCUCUCCCACUCCCGCUGCUUGUGUUCCUGCUCUCGCUCUCUGUCUCUGUCAGAUAAAUAAAAUCUUUAAAAAAAAUAAGUGAAAGCAGAGACUCAAACAAAUAUAUGUACAGCAAUAUUCAUAGCAGCAUUAUUCACAAUAGCCAAAAGGUGGAAACAACACAAGUGUCCAUUGAUGGAUGAAAGGAAAAACAAAUUGUGGUAUAUACAUACAGUGGAAUAUUACUCAGCCUUACAAAGGGAUGAAACAUUCUAUAGUGUGGAUGAACCUUGAAGACAUUAUGCUAAGUGAAAUAAGCCAGACACAAAAGCACAAAUACUGUAUGAUUCCACUUAUAUGAAGCAGUUAGAGUAGUCAAAUUCAUAAAGACAGAACAUAGAAUGGUGGUUGCCAUUCCUUGCUUCCUGGGUGAGGGGGCAAUAGGGAGUUAUGUUUUAGUAGUAUGGAGUUUCCAUUUGGGAGGAUAAAAAAGUGCUGCAGAUAAUAGUGGUGUUGGUUGCACAAUAAUACGAAUGUACUUAAUGCCACGGAACUGCACAUUUAAAAAUGGUUAGAGUGGUAAAUUUCAUUUUAUAUGUAUUUUACCACCAAAAAAAGAGGGAAAAAAAGUUUAUGCUAGGGUCACACUCUUGAAGAUUUGGAUUUAAUUUGUGUGCCAGGGCCUGGAUGUCAGGAUUUUGUAAAGCUCGUGGGGUUAUUGUAAUGGCCAGCCUCCUCCCUUCCCUCCCCUUCCUUCCCCUGUCUGGGCUUAGCAUCUCCACUCCUAGAAAGUGCUUCUCUCCCUGAGACCAUAAGCACUUGUGGCCUCAGGGAGGGAGGCACUUCUGCAGAAACAGUUUUUAUGAGACAAAUUGCAAUCUUUAGGGAGGUUUCUUAGGAACCAUCAUUAGCACGAUAAGCUGUGUUCGUUCUUUCCAGUCUUCAGCCCAUGCUGUCUCUCCUGAUCACACUCCCAUUUUCCCUACACAAAUCCAGAAAGGCCUUAGGAAGCUGCAGGAGAUAGGAGGAAACCAGGAGGUGUCACAGACCCAGGGUUGGGAGCAUCUCCCUCCUAGGGAUGCCUCCCCCACUGCUUCCUGCAGGAUACCCAAGGGAACACGAGGGGACCUCUCGGUACCUGUACAGGGUGACUCCGAUGUCCUAGGAGAGAAAAGAGGGAAGCUCUCCAUUACCAGUCUCCUAGGGGCUGCACUGACUCCUGGUCUAUCCUCCUGGGCUCACAGCCCUGGGGUGUCAGCAAAACUGGGGCAUCUCUCCCCAUUCUAAUUUUCAUCACCCAAAGUGGCAGCCUGUUGGGGCUUGCAACAGAACUGCACCCAAACCCUGCUUUUCUCUUCUGGGAGAUGCCAGGGGAUCCCUUGAAAGCUGGGCCACCCUGGGCUCCUGACAGCUCAUCAAAAGGGUCUGGGCACAAGACCUUUGUCUUGUACUGACUUGGGCAGAGUUAAUGGCAGUGCUGGGGAGCCCAUGUCAUCCUACUGGGCACAGCGGGCAGGGGAAGCCAGACCCAGCCACACUCACCUGCAUGAGCUCCCAUUCCGGCUGGUACUGCUUGGCCUCCAGCUCCCCAAUCAGCUCGUCAAGAAGGGCAAUGUCUCUGGAUACUUGGGUGCUAUAUUUCUCCCUGACCUGGCCAAUGGUCUGGUUCAGAUCCUCUAUUGAGGCCACAAAGAGCUUCUCUUGCUGCUCCAGAAGAUGGUACAGCUUCUCCAACUGGUGCCGAUGUCUCUGCUUCUGGGUUUCAGUUUGUUUCUGGGGGAACAGAAAGGUGUAGGGUCUAUCCAGUGUGCUGGGUGUGUGUGCCCAGGGAAUCCCAAGAAGCCCACCUCCUGGAGGUGGCUAAGAGGCUGGAUCCCUCAGCUUCUCGGAGGACUAGAUUUCAGAGAAGGAAACAAAAUGGGCCAGAACCUUCCAGAACAGACUGAAGGUGGCAGGGAUUAGCUCUUGUAAAAUGCCCUAAAACCCAGUAUUCUGGGUUGAUUUGUAUCUCCUCCAAAAUUUAUGUUAAAGUCCUAACCUCUAGUACCUAAAGAAUAUGAUCUUACUUGGCAAUAGCAUCAUUGCAGAUGUAGUUAGUUAAGAUGAGAUCAUACUGGAGUGGGCCACUGGAGUGGGGAAGUUGAGACACAGACACAGGGAGAACACCAUGUGAAGAAAACACAGGGAAGAGAUGACAUCUACCAGCUGAGGGGAGAGGCCUGGAAGAUCUCCUUCACGGCCCUCAGAAGGAACCAGUCCUGCUGACACCUUGACUAUGGAAUUCUGGCCUACAGAACUGUGAAAGAAUUUCUUUUUUGCGGUUUAAGCCAUUCAGUCUGUGGUGCUCUGUAAUGGCAGCCACGGGACACUAAGAUAUCUGGUGUCAUCUUUUUCCUUCCUUGAAAGCCAGUGUGAGGAUGACAUAUGCCUGGGGUUGUAAAUGGACAAGGUUAUGACUACCAAAGUGUCCAGGAAGGAGGCUUCUCUCUACGUUCCACCAAAGUGCUGGCAUGCAGAAGGUCCUCAAUGUGGCUCUGAAUGAAGGCAGUCAGUCCAUUUAUGUGACUGUAAGUGAACUUGACUUCUACUACCAUUGCACAUAGGUCAGCCAUCUGGCCCAUGUUCUAUCCAGAGUUUCUGUGGAAACAUGAAGUGGCUGUAGGGAACCUUCUCCUUCCUCCAUGGAGGGAGAAGCCCCUUCGAAUCUUCUAAGACUGGACUUAGGAAGUCUCAUCAUUUUGAGCUCUUUAGUGAUUUUGAACCAGAAAUAUUUCCUCACCUUUUGUUGUUGAGGGUGCUAACAUUGGCUUUUUUUUUCCUUAAAGAGGACAGGUCAGUUGUCAUGUUCAAUGGCCUAUGUUCUAAAAUUGUCUGAUAAUUUUGAUCAUGAUUAAAUUCAGGUUAAGCAUCUUAGACAAGAAUACCAUAUUCUUAAUGCGCUGGGCUCCCUAGCACAGCCCAUGGGGAGGCAAAGAGUGUCCAGUUUGUCCAUCACCAUUAUUGUGAUACGGAGAUCAGUCACUUGGUUGAGGAGGGGUCUGCCACAUCUCUCCAGUGUCAAUAUAUAUUAUUUCCUUUAUAAUUACUAAGUAAUUGGAGGAGUGGUACUUAGAGGAUAUCAAUAUCCUGUUCUCUUAUGAUCUUCUGUGAAAAAUUUUAGCAUUUGUUGAUGAUCUCUGUUGGUGUUGAUUGUUAUACUGGUGUUUGUAUAGUGGGAAAUUUCCUUUUUGAGAUUUUUUAUUUAUUUAUUUAAGUAAUCUCUGCAACCAUCUUGGGGCUUAAACUCACAACCCUGAAAUCAAGAGUCGUAUACUCUCUGACUGAGCCAGCCAGGCACCCCAUAACCAUUCUUCCAUACUUGUUUUAGUUGACAUUGUGCUGUAAAAAAGAGUUUCCCCUCCCCCUUCCAUAUGAUUAAAAAAUUAUAUAUAUAUUUUGACUAUUGAAAGGAGGAUGAGCAGAAGUCUUGAAAACAACCACCUUUCCACGGGGACUCAUGUCACUGAGUGUCUUAAGGGAAGACCAGACCUUCUUGUCUCCCUAAGUUUCACUGUGGCCCAGGCUUCUGCCUCACUGUCAUGGUGGGGGCAUCCCUGACCUCUGCUUCACCCACAAGUUCCGAGCCACCUGGCAUUAUAGGAAAGGUGUUUUCUUUUUUAGAAAGAGAGAGAGAAAGCUGGUGAGUGCAGGGGAGGGGGAAGUGAUGAUGGGAAGGGCAGAGGGAGAGGGAGAGAAAGAAUCUUAAGCAGACUCCACACCCAGUGUGGAGCCCGACGUGGGGCUCAGAUCUCAUGACCCUGAGAUCAUGACCUGAGCUGAAAUCAAGUCAGACUCUUAACUGACUGAGCCAUCUUGGCGCCCUAGAAAGGGGUUUUCUUUUACUAGACUUCAUGAGUUUCCCAAAAGUUAGACACCUGGACCAAUGCCAUGCCUGCUCCCAUUCCUGCCCUUUGUUAUCUUUGCCUGUUUCCCAUUGUGGUGUGGGAGAUGGGAUCCAGCCAACAGAAAUGGGUCAGACAAAUUAAGGCUCUUUGGGGUAGCUGAAUUUGCUUGCACGGAAAAUGGAAGCAACUUAUGUGUCCAGGUUCAACAGAGGAAGGGCAACAAAUGUAUUUAUUGAAAUCUGUGGCAUCACAAAAUGACAGUUUUAAAGAAAAUGUCUAACCAUUUGAAUUUUAAAAUUCCAUAUUAAAAAAUAAUGGACAACAAUUUUAAAAAACCAUACAAAGGAGUAUUUAAAAUGGAAAGUCUCUCCUCCCAUUUCCUCAAUCCCAUCCCUCAGCGACAGCCACUGGUGUUAAUUUCUCUAAACCAUUUUGUAGUGAAUAUGAGAAAGCACAGGCUCCUCAGAGAUUUCCCUCCCUCCUGAGGGUGGGUCUCCCUCUCCAGGGACAAGCUCAUCCUUGGACUCCUGUUACCUCCCUGCCCCCUCAAGAGCAGGUGAUUCUAAAUAGGUGAUCAGUUCUGCUUCUCUGUGAACCAAAACAUAAUUUGGGGACCCCCUGCUCACUUUUGGUCCCCUCCCUCCUUUUGCAGGGGUAAACUCAGGCAAGGAUUGGCCACAGAACACCCCUGACCUUACCAGGAAUUUUGCAGUCUUCUUAUCCCCCUGAGAUCUCUGCUCCUCCCCAGAUUUUCUCAACUCCUUCAGAUGCUCCAGCUGCUUUUGAAUUUGCUCCUGGAAAAGGGGCACUUGUUGAAGCCUAAACUUGGCCUCUGCCAUCUUUAGUUGGUGCCAACUCUAGAGGGAAAAAAUCUGCUUUAGGGAGUAAAGCUGAGGGUCCUGCAGCCAAGAGCACAGGGAUGGUGCCCAGGAAAGGAAGAAUGAAUCCAUCACACCAAGGGAAGCAGAUCCAAGAGGUGGUGAGAGAGAGAUUCUUAAUGACAUGUGGGCACCUGGAUUCAGCAAUACCUGAAGCUAGUGCCCUUGGACCUCAGCUACAUGAACCAGUAAAUUCCCUCUUUGCUGGUCUGGUUUAUAUUGUGUUUUUGCCACUUUACAGACCAGGGAUGCUGACUAAUGCACCAACAUCCCAGGGUUGGGAAAUAAAGUAGCCCUGACUACUUUUUUUUUUUUUUUUUUAAGAUUUUUAUUUAUUUAUUUGACAGAGAGAGACACAGCGAGAGAGGGAACACAAGCAGGGGGAGUGGGAGAGGGAGAAGCAGGCUUCCCGCCGAGCAGGGAGCCCGAUACAGGGCUCGAUCCCAGGACCCUGGGAUCAUGACCUGAGCCGAAGGCAGACACUUAAUGACUGAGCCACCCAGGCGCCCCCAGCCCUGACUACUUUUUUUUUUUUAAGAUUUUUUUUUUUUUUUUUUUGAGACAGAGAGAAUGAGAGAGAGAGAGCACAUGAGAGGGGGGAGGGUCAGAGGCAGAAGCAGGCUCCCUGCCGAGCAGGGAGCCGGAUGCGGGACUCGAUCCAGGGACUCCAGGAUCAUGACCUGAGCCGAAGGCAGUCGCUUAACCAACUGAGCCACCCAGGCGCCCGCCCUCACUACUUUUAAAAGCCCCUCCCCACCCACCCCCAAGAAGCCCUACCUUGUAUUCCAGGGCAGCCUCUUCGAUGGGGCGCACCCAGUGGCCUUGAUGUUCCUGACUCAACCUGCAGAUGAGGCAGAUAGGCUCCUUGUGGUCCUCACAGAAGAGCAGCUGGACCUGCUUCAUGUGUCGCUCACACUGUGGCAAGGACUUGGGACUCAAGUUGGCUAUCUGCAGUCCUUCUUGCUGCUUGUAGUCUUCAGAGUUAUUUACUGUGAGUGAGGCCAGGCUUAGGAAGCUGCUGGGUGAGCAUUUGCCUGAGGUCUUAGGAUACCUAGAAGCAACGGAGUAUCUGCAGGAAUCAUCUCCUUCCUGGGCACGACAAAGGGGAUACACAGCCUCAUCCUGUGGCUUCCCUGGGGCCAUGGCAGUGGAAAAAUUUCCUGAGUGACAAACCCAAAAUGUUAUGAAGAGGUGCUACAAAGAAGAGAGAGAUAGAGAGCCCAUGCCUGGGACACAUAAGUUCCUGGUUAGACUGGCCACUUCUAACUUGUCCUCCCCUGACUUUGUUCCAGCAAGGCAGCAAACCACCCAGCAAAAGUGAGGGCAAAGGGCUAGAUCUCAUGACAGUCCUGAGACUUGGAAUUCCUGGAUAUUUAUCCUAAAGAAAAGGCUUUUGUUAUAAAUUCUAUGCCUUCCUCCCACACAUGUACAGAUCUAGCAGGUGAUAUAAAGGCAGUGAGACAUUCUGACCAGUGUUUGCUUUGCCACUUAAAACCAACCAGGCUGCUCUCUUGAGUCUUGUGGGAGCCCACAAGAAGAAACAGAGACCCACUCAAUUCAUUAGUCCCCUCCCACCACCUCUCACAAGGUCCCAGGAAUUCAUAUCACAUCUGUAAGUGAGACUGUGGGAGGCCCCCCCAGGAACCAUUCUCCCCUCCUUCCCUUAUGAUAGAAUUGAUUGCUGCCCAUCAAUUGAUGGCUGCUUCCCUCCCCCACCCCCCCCAAAAAAAACAUUUCUUGCAAUUGGGUGUGGCUAUUUGACUACAUUCUGGCCAAAGGGAUAUAAAUGAAGGCAUCAUGAACAGCUUCUAGAAACUUCUGGAAACUUUCCCUAAGCGAUACUCUUCUCCUUUGUCCUUCCAUCCUGCUGCUUGGAAUGAGGAUGCCACCCUCUGAGACCAUGAGCUUGAGAGCAAAUUUUGUGGAGCAGAAAAACAGCAGGAGCCUGGGUUCCUGGCCCAUAGAGUACCACAUCUGUUCUGGACCAUCUGUGUUAUUUAUGUGAAGGAGAAACAAACUUCUGUCUUGUUUCAGUUAGCGUUAUUUUGGUGUUUCUGUCAUCCACAACCCAACAUAAUCCCAAUUUCUGCCUCCUUAGUAGAAGAGAUUUAGGAUUUUAGCCAACAGCUCUCCUCCCUGCCCAGAGAGGUGAAUGGCAGAAUCUCAGUCCCAUGACAUACUGCCAUGGUGUCAUUGUGAGAAGCAGGUAUUUUUACCCAGUCUUUCCCAGAUGCUCAAGCUGGGGUCCAUGAAUUCCUUGGAAUUCUAUAGGAUUUCAGUGUCUAAGAACUUGAACUUUGAUGCAACAUUUUAUGAAGAUGUGCAUAUGUGCAUUUUUUUUCAGGAUUCACAGCCUACCUCAGAUCCCAGGGGGCACCCAGGGAUCUGGUGUUGUGAGGAAAUGCCUGCACAGGUCACCAUUCCUAAGGAUACCAGGUUUUCUGAGUUUUGGGGUCCUUUCUUACCUGAAGAAGGAGGGACUUCUGGACCUGAAGGCUGAUGGACCUCACUGCCUACCACCUCCCUCAAGGUCUCAGAAGGUUCUUGACCCUCAAUUCCAUUUUUCUUUGAAGGUCCUAUAGAUUCUGGAUGCUCCCAGGUCAUCUGGUCUCCAGACAGUGAUACAUUGGAAAGUGUAUUCCUGAAUACUCCCCCCUUCAGGAUCAUGGACUGUUCUGGAUUCUUGGAGCCUUUCUCUGGAGCCACAGUAGCGCCUACAUCCAGAGUGGCCACUUCACUGGCGGUGGCUGCUGAGUCUGGAUGAUCACUUCUUAUUUUCUCUUGAGGCAGAAGAGUUUCUGGAUUGGGAGGUUCUCUCUCUCCCAAAAAAAAGAAAAUCCUAACACACAGAUUUGGAGGCUUUUACAGCUGGGAGGGCUCAAGGUCAGCCACAUGGUCCUCCAGUGCCCCAGCCCUCACCUUCGCAUACUGCCCAGCAGAGCAGCGAGCGGUAGUAAGCUCUACAUCCAAUGUGAGGCUUGAACUCAGAACCCUGAGAACAAGGGUCACAUGCUCUACUGACUGAGCCAGCCAGGUGCCCCUGAACACAUAUUUUGGACACCCUGCCAGGAUGUGGAGAAACAAGGGUGAAAAAAGACAUAGGUGUCCUUUGGAGCUCAUGUCCCAAUGUGGGGCUCCAGAAGUCAUUCCAGAGCUAAUGGAAGUUGUAUGUGGGUGAGCGGACUUCUUCCAGUUAACUGCUUCUGUCUUUCUGCAUACUCUGAUUUUUAGCCCCAACUUUGUGUUUUGAAAAAUUUCAAACCUACAGAAAAGUUACCGAGAUUCACCAACUGUUUACAUUUUACAGUAUUUAGUGAUUCUCUUUCUUAUGUACACACAUGCAUGCACUUCAUUUUUCCUUUUUUCCCCUCUGAACCAUUUGGUAAUGAAUUGAAAACAUUAUCAGAUAUCACUCCAAAUACCCUACAUACCCUAAGUACAAUGAACAAGGAUAUAAGGAUAUUAUUUUAAAUAAUCAGAAUACAAUUAUCAUACUCAGGAAAAUUAACAUCAUUAUAAUACUAUAAUGAGUUCAUAAUCAAAUUUCUCCAAAGGACUGAUAAUGUCCUUGACAGCUUUUUUUUUCCAACCCAGGGUCCAAUCAGAGAUCCUGCACUGCAUUUAGUUGUUACAUCUCUAUACUCUGCUUCUACUAGAACACUUUCACACUUCCCCGCCUUUUUAAAUUCUGUCAAUGUUUUUGAAAAGUCUGUUCCAAGCAGAAUGUGCCUUAAUUUAGAUCUGUGCAUCAUUUCCUCAUUAUUAGACUGAAGGUAUAUUCAGGUGCUCAAGAUGUCUCCAUUGUAAGAGGAUGUUUUUUCUUGUAAUUAGUAAGUAACCUGAGAAUGUGGAAACGUCUUGUUCUCCUACAAUCUUUCACCCCAUGAUUUUAACAUUCAUUGAUGAUCUUUUCCUAAAUCAGUUGCUACAAUGGUACUUGCAAAAUGGUUAUAUUUCUAUCACUUAGCUGGCAUCAUUUGCAUGUCCUGGUUUAAGCUUUCUGCAUUUCUCAUGAAGUUUUUGGCUUACAGAUGUUGUUUUUUCUUGAGAUUUUAUUUAUUUCACAGAGAGAGAUAGCGAGAGCAGGAACACAAGCAGGGGGAGUGGGAGAGGGAGAAGCAGGCCCCCCGAUGAGCAGGGAGCCUGAUGCCAUGUGGGGCUUGAUUCCAGGACCCUGGGAUCAUGACCUGAGCCGAAAGCAGACACUCAACAACUGAGCCACCCAGGCUCCCCCAGAUGUUUUGUUGUUAACACAAUUGUGGUUACUCUGUGCCAGGCACAGCUUGCUUUAUAUCCGUUAUCUCCUAAAAUCUCUGCAGCAUGCCUUCAGGGCAGGAUUCAUCAUCCUCACUGCCAGGAUUAGUGGUUUAGUGACUUGCUCAGUGACUGAGCCAGGAUUCAAACUCCCUCUUUUAACCACUUUGCAGAAUGGUCUCUGUGCAUGAUGAUAAUUUAUUAUUUUACUGUUCCUCACUAACCCCAGAUGUCACUUUUUUCAGCUGUCCAGUGAGACUCAAAAUGGGCUAUUCUGACCACUCCCACAGGUCAUUUACAACAUUCUGAUGCCUGGCAGAACAAACAACACUGUGUGUGACCAGCCUGUGUGUGACCAGCUGGGACCGAGGCCUUCAUGAGUUCUGCUUGGUUGAAUGUUAUCUUACUAUCCACUUGGUCCACAUACUUCCUAUUUUACAGAUUACUCCGUGCUUUUGGUUUAAUAGCUGACAGCAUCCAGUUUUCUGGAUCCUGCUGAGAAAAUAACCCCAAACCCAACAUACUCCCUAAAAAAUGGAUGGACUCAAAUGCAUGCAUAUUUGUGGUGCAAAUGUUGGAUGUGUGAUAUUCUCAGGUUGGGCCGGAAGGGUGUUGACCGAGCGUCUCUGAGAUCACGACCUCUCCAAGAUUUCAGAAGGCAGUAACACAGCCACCUCACAGGGAGCCUCCCACUCCUGAGACAACUGAAAUUGUGCAAUAACACACACGGUCCUUCUUGUUCCUGGGGUCCCUAACCCUGUCUUGACUGGCCAGCAAACUCCUUUAAGCUCAAACUAACACACCCACAGCAGAAUUGGGCAGGAACUGGGGCUUUCCAGUCUAUAGCAGGAUAUUUUGCAAUUGCAGUGAUACCUUUUGCAACAGGGAGCAAUUCUGAGGCAUGGACUUGCCUUUUUUUUUUUUUAAGAGAGAGUAAGCAAGCAGGGGUGGUGGGGAAGGAGGGGCAGAGGAAGAGGAGAGAGAAUCUCAAGCAGACUCCCCACUGAGCUUGGAGCCCCACAUUGGACUCAAUCAUGACCUUGAGAUCAUGACCCUGAGAUCAUGACCCUGAGGCAUGACCUGAGGUGAAACCAAGAGUCAGUCGUUCAACCAACUGAGCCACCUAGUUGCUCCAAGGCAUGGACUUACUUGUGAGGUAGUGGCAUUUCUAUGUCAAAGAAGCUGAAAGAGGUUCCAGUAAUUUUUUUAAAAUGAAGAAUGUGGGGGCACCUGGGUGGCUCAGUUGGUUAAGCGACUGCAUUCAGCUCAGGUCAUGAUCCUGGAGUCCUGGGAUCGAGUCCCGGGAUCGAGUCCCACAUCAGGCUCACUGCUCAGCAGGGAGUCUGCUUCUCCCUCUGACCCUUCCCCCUCUCAUGCUCUCUCAAAUAAAUAAAUAAAAUCUUUUAAAAAUAAAUAAAUAAAAUGAAGAGAUGUGAAAAGACGAAUAUAACUCUCAGGGUGACUUUUGAAUGAACAGUGGUAGUGGAGUAUCAAUGAAAUCUUUCUUGUGCCUCUGUGACUGAAUGUGUGCCCUUAUUUGGGAACAACAUGACAAAUCUAAAUCCAUCACAGCUGCUGCAAGCAGAGCUACUUCAACCUCUGCUCUUAUCUUAAGUAAUGCACAGCCCAGACAUCCCAACCUUAAAUCCAUGCCUGGGUUUCAUCUUUCUAACUUACUCCAUCAGGGUUUCACUUUCUAACCAUUCAUUUUUGCAUCACUUUGAGCUUUUUUAAAUCAAUAUGUAUUAUUUUUAUAAAAGAAAAGAUAGUUUUAAAAAAGUAUUUUAUAAUUAGCUUAGCCUCCAAGGAGAUAUCAGUCCUGUCCCCACAACCAUCAUGAUGAAGUUUGUGGUAGUUAAAUAUAUAGUACAUACGGGUUAUUGAGAGAGCCAUAGGCAAGAUCAUGGAAGAGUUCCUGUGUUAAUCCGGAGUUGGAAGUAAUGGAUCCCAUUGUGACCCAAACUCUUCCUCACCUUCCAGUAUAUUGAAUUUUAAGGGAGAAAUCAGAGACUUUGAGAGGCUAACAUCUCAAUUUCAAAGUGAAUUUCCAGGCAAUGAACCUCCCACUGGGAAACAUACUUGUAACUGGGCUUUCUGAGAGCACACCAAGUUCUGGUGCAACCUCCAACCUCCUGAGCAGGAUGGAAACAGGGAGAGAAAGGCAGCUUCCUAGGUGGACUUGACUUGUGGAGGUUGUACAGUAGUGGGGUCGGAAUAGUUCCCGGAUUGGUCCACCAGUGAGAGUUUCAUUUUGCAAUAUGGUAACGCCAAGCAAGAAGCUUUAUGAGCUCUAAAGUGCUAUACACAUUAUUUAUUCUCAUUGGUAAAUCUAGACGGAGGAUAAGUGGGUGUUCAUUUUACUCUUUAAAUUUUUUUUUACAUAUUUAAACAUUUUAUAAUUUAAAACACUGAAAAAAUUUUGUUUUACUAAUAUUUCUAGGGACCCUUCUAGGAAGCUGGCUGUGGGCAUACAGUCCCUGACCGCCAAAGGCUUACAUGUUAGUGAAGGGGAAUAACCCAGUUGCCUGCUCUCCCUUCCCUUGCACCCUUUGAGGUUUGGUUUACAUAAUCCUGCCCCACUCGGAUCUCCCUGUCCUUUUACCCGCGGCACAGCUGCUCCGGGUGCUUCGGGCAAUGCCUACUCAGUAAGUUUCGAAUAUGCACAGAGUAGUGGGGAAAAAAACGGGACUCCAAGAUCUAGGACUUGUGGCCUGGGCCAGUUACCCGACGUCUCUGAGUUUCCUGUCAAAAGGGUGGUUUGGAAGUUUCAAUGAGAUAAUGUAUGCUAAAGAGCCUGGCACCGUGGGUCAGUGUCAGCUAGGUCCUUUGAUGCUCCAGCGCCUAGCGCAGCGCCGGGCUAGUCGUGGGCGGCGUCCGAGAGCCGGACACAGGAUCCCCGCCCCCGCAACGGCCGUCACCUCCGAGACCCCCGCCCACAGCGCGCGGUUCCCUGCCGCCGCGCUCGCUUCCGCGCGUGGGGGCAGGAAGACCCCACUCCGCGGGUCUCACGCCCGGCAGCAACUUCCUUGGGGCAGUCGCUCUGAGGGGAAGCGGCCUGGGCGGGAGGGGGUUUGUCCGCGGUAAGAGUAGCCCGAGGAUAAAACGGAAGUGUCAGCGAAGAGCCCCGAUAGGCAGGCUGGCAGGCACUGGAGUAGAGACAACCCGGCACACUGUGUCCGGGGCCCCGCGGGCUCUGCCCCAAGGGGGGAAAGCCCGAGGAGGCGCGACACGCCCUGCGGCCGGCCGCCGUGCAGCCGCGCUAAUGAGUCCGAGGGCCACGCCCUAAACUACAUCUUCCAGGGGGCCCCGGGAGUAAGCGGAGCCAAUCGGAGGGCGAGUGGGCGGGCUCAGCGGGGCCUGUGUCUCCCAGGGGGCGCUGGGGCGCGGCGCGGUGGUCGGGAUCGGCAGCCCCAGCAGCCUAUGGUUGUGUC